CUUGUGCUCAGGAGGAGGAGCGGAGUAGGGUCCUGUGAUGCUUUGCUGGCGCGAGUCGGAGCAAAAAAGAAUUGGGAAUCUUCCAUGCUCCAUACUGUGCCAGCUUUGUCUAAAGCACCAACAGAAAUGGGAACGCCACAGAUGCACAACCAAAGUUAAACUACUUACCUCUAGGCUGAAUUGUCACACGAGUGUAGCUGCAGCUGGCAAGAUUAAUGGUCUGCUUGCUACAAAAAGAGUGGAAUUAAUAUCAUCAGGGAAAUAGUGUUUAUGCGAGCGGCAGUAGCGUGCCCAUGUUGUACAUGUGUGAUGUCUCUAUAUCUCUUUCCCUUUUCUUUGAUUUCUUUUAAGUCAUGUGUUAAACAUAAUUUACUUGUUGUGGAUUAGAAUUUUGUGAUGGAUAUGCGAGGGCUUUGCUUUUUGUGUGCGAUAGGUAUAUGUACAGUUUAAUGUUGUUCUCAAGAACAGUUAUUCAUAGUUCUGCCCGAGAAUUUGACAACGUAAUGACACAAGGGUAAGAACUAAUGUUUCAUAAUUAUAUCAUACUAUGCUCGAGUUUGUGCUUCGAUACAUUAGCUUUUUCUAAAGCUGUCCAUUUCAUUGGUAUUUUGUUGUACCAUUUGUGCGUGUAUUCUGCAGCUUCACUACCUUUCUGCUAUGGUUCUUCAUACGAAGUGUUAAUGCAUUUGUUGAUACUCUAUUGGAGGACAAGUUCAGGCACAGAGAAUGUUUCUCGAAGUUUGGAAUUCCUUUCACCUGACUUUGUUCAGGAUUUCUUCACACUUCAGAAUUGUGAUGCCUCCAAUUACUUAUGUCGCCGCUGCGUCUGCCGCCUCCGAGCUGGGAGACCGUGGCCUCGCUGUCGCCGCAUUUGCCCGCCGUUCAUGCAAGGUCCCCCAAAACCUGGUUAGUUGUUUGUACUUUAUUGGGCACAUAUAUGGUACAGAUGUUUUCAUUCAUACUUUCACAAUUUUUGUCUCCAUCUUAAUAUAUAACCAUUUCUACGAUACACGGACUGCAAUUUUAAAAUACUUAAGCCGCUCGGUUCCAUACAUGUUUGCACUAACUGCCGGCCUACUGUACAAUGGUACCAAAUUAUAGCUAUGAAAAUAAGAAGUUUGUUAAUCAAUAGAUUAGUAUUAAAAGUACAUACAAAAUUACCCAGGGUCAGUCGCAUAAUUCUCCCGGCCUCCCUUACGUGCAAACCCAUCUUUCAAGACACAUGGCUUAGAACGUUGCUUAGUUCUCAUGACUUUCCAUACUAUAUUAUAGAUCAGCAGGAAGGCCUUCUAGCAUUGUUUGGGUCUCCUAGCGAACAGUUAUAUUUUGUUCCAUAAGGCCUCCUAGUAAACAGUUAGAGGCUAAAAACUUUGAGAUACAAGUCUUAGGUUUCAUAAAAAAACAGGCAUGCAUUUUCUUCGCAUCACCCUUCUGUUAUGUCAUAAAGUCCUUAUUCUUCUUUCUAUUAUUCUUUCAUUGAAUUCCUUUGUGAGCAUGGCUUUUACGCUCAGAAUUGUCUAUUUUGCAAUUUGCAAAUGGUAACAUUACUAUUUCAUUCUGUAUAUGGUAUAUGAUCAUAUAGUCUGCUAUCUGGUUAAGCUCCUCUAUGCUUAUUUAUACAAGUACUUAGAUCAUGCGCCUCUGUAGGAACAUAUCUCACUCUCACUGUUCUAGGCCAUUUUGAUGAUCUCACAAAGGGAGAUGUAAAAAAUCAUUUAAUGGCACUAUAUUUAGACCCUUUCUGAUUAUACAUAUAUGUAUUGCGUAUUUGCUCUUCAUAGUAACAGAGGAGUUUAACGUUCUGGUCUGACAAGUAAUAGAUGAAACCUUGGCUUAAUAAUUUUCUCUCUAACAUUUAAGAGCAUAAAGAGAGUGUGCCGAAGUAAGUGUUCUUGACUAUAUAGCAAUGGUGUUGCAGGUUCUUUAAUUGUGGUGUCAAUGUGUCAUUAUCUGUGGGUCUUUUGAGGUAACUCCACCAUUCAUUUAAAUACACUGGGUUUCUCCCUGAAUUUUUUCCAAGAGUUCUCACAAGAUUGGCCUUAACAGUGAAGAUCCAAACAAGUGAGUUGGUUAAAAACUCACAUUUAUGUAACUCUGUGUGAUUAUUUAUUUCACUUUAAAGUUUUUUUUACUCUCAGCAAGAUAAAAACAGAGCCUUAAGCAAGACUCAUUUCAAAUUUUUCAACAAUACAUUUCUGACUUUUCAACGACUCAUCAAUGUUUUCAAGAACAUAUUUAUGGCAAUAUCAGUAUAUCACCAGCCUGUAUGUUAUAAUAAUAUUUGAGAUUCAGUUGACCACUUGAAUACAAAUUCGUGAAGUCUGUCUUCUGAAGUUGUGAUUGGCUACAAGAGAGCAAGUUUGGCUCCCGAACGAUCAACAAGUAAAGGUCCGGUCCUUUUAAUGCGACUGUUGUUGCGAGACUGGUACGGCUAAACUGAGAAGUGCUUUUAGUGUUGUUGCUAGACUGGCAUGGCUAAACUGAGAAGUUCUUUUGUUGAUAGCUGGAUCCUUUCAAAGCAGGUGGUUGAUUUUAGUUCCUGUUGUAUUUUUUAAAGAUGAAAUUCAUGUUGUAAAGACAUCUACUCCAUCUGAAUCAACACAAAGAUUGUUGAUUUUGUCCAUUCGAUGUAAGUGACAUUAAUCAUGUAUGUUUGCUAGGUAACUAAUAGAAAAAACUUAUCAUGUA